rnacentral:lncRNA from 10 species
AGGGAAGGUCAGCAGAUAAACAAGUGAACAAAGGUCUCUGGUUUUCCUAGGUAGAGGACCCUGCGGCCUUCCGCAGUGUUUGUGUCCCUGGGUACUUAAGAUUAGGGAGUGGUGAUGACUCUUAACGAGCAUGCUGCCUUCAAGCAUCGGUUUAACAAAGCACAUCUUGCACCGCCCUUAAUCCAUUUAACCCUGAGUGGACACAGCACAUGUUUCAGAGAGCACAGGGUUGGGGAUAAGGUCACAGAUCAACAGGAUCCCAAGGCAGAAGAAUUUUUCUUAGUACAGAACAAAAUGAAAAGUCUCCCAUGUCUACUUCUAUCCACACAGACCCGGCACCCAUCCGAUUUCUCAAUUUUUUCCCCACCCUUCCCGCCUUUCUAUUCCACAAAACCGCCAUUGUCACCAUGGCCCAUCUCCAAUGAGCCGCUGGGCACACCUCCCAGACGGGGUCGUGGCCGGGCAGAGGGGCUCCUCACUUCCCAGUAGGGGCGGCCGGGCAGAAGCGCCCCUCACCUCCCGGAUGGGGCGUCUGGCCGGGCGGGGGGCUGACCCCCCCACCACCCUCCCGGACGGGGCGGCUGGCCAGGCAGAGGGGCUCCUCACUUCCCAGUAGGGGCGGCCGGGCAGAGGCGCCCCUCACCUCCUGGAUAGGGCGGCUGGCCGGGCGGGGGGCUGACCCCCCCACCUCCCUCCCGGACGGGGCGGCUGGCCAACCCCCCCCCCCGCCUCCCUCCCGGACGGGGCGGCUGGCCGGGCAAAAGGGCUCCUCACUUCCCAAUAGGGGCAGCCGGGCAGAGGCGCCCCUCACCUCCCGGACGGGGCGGCUGGCCAGGCGGGGGGCUGACCCCCCCACCUCCCUCCCGGACGGGGCGGCUGGCCGGGCAGAGGGGCUCCUCACUUCCCAGUAG